UUCCUGUAAAUAAGAGCAAUUAAUAAUAAUGUUUUGUUAACGAAAGACACAGAAACAUCAGACAUUUCUAUUCAGAAAAGUUGCAGUUUAGAAAAUAUCAUAAUUCAUCAUGUGGAAAUGAUGCAAUGAAAAUUACAAUAGCAAUUUUUAUAGAUUUAUAUUAAAAUGAAGUUGCAAUUUUACCAAUUCAUUUUAAUAACAUUUUUCUAGCACUGAAGAAAUAUAAGCAUUAUUAAUGAUGUGAGAUACUCUGCAUGCUUAACUUAUUAGUCUGUUUUCCCUGGGACAGUUUUAUUUAGUAUUUAUUUUUUUACUCCGUUGUGUUGCUAAGGAGCAGUUCAGCUAUUUUAUUUCUUUACAAUGGUGAAAAGAGAACAAGGUGUGAAGAAAGCCUCCCAUUUAUUCAUCCACGUCUUGCAAAUGCUACAGUCUAUCUGAACUAAAUAUAUUCAAAAUCUCGAAUAAAAUGUCAUAUAAACCCCAAGCUAUUUAAAAAUGGUGCUUUUCAAGCUUGAUGUGAGAAAGUUAAAUACUUUAAAAAUAUUUUUUGGCUUAUGACUGCGAUUUUUAAAAAGGGUGCAGCCACAGAGCUGUAAAAGUUAAAACCAAAAGGUGGAUAUAAGAUAAGGAAGUCUGUUUGCCCUUUAGAGGAAUUCUAGUUAAACUGUACAAGCAUAUUUUAAAAGAUUAUUUAAUCAUGACCAAUGCUGACACACAAAAAUUCAAGUGGGAACUGUGCCAUUUUAGACUAAAGUGUUUUUCCUCUCACAGCACAGAAGCUAAAUCAAACAGCACAUUUAACCUUAAUUCUGAGCUGAUAAUUAACAUUCUCCCCUCUUCCUCUGCUGACACUUGAGUCGUGCUGCAGGUCAUAGUUCCCCUCAUAUACUCAGGGGUACCAUUUGUGGUUUGUCAGCCAGCGUUGAGGAAUCUGCCACGGACCAUGAGACCACUGGUUUCUUUCAGCUGUAUCCUGUUACCCUGUUCUUUGGAAAAUGGCCUCAGGCUGCCCUGUGCUUGGUUUUGUCUUAGAGAUCUCCUCAAGGUCUCUCCAGAUGACACUGAAGAAUUUGAGGGUAUAUUUGAAUUUUUUUAACACCCACUUGAACUUCCUGUAGUACUUUGUUCCAGAUCCACCACUUGCUCUGAAAAGCAUCAAUCACACACCAGUUCUGAUGCUCCUUCUUAUAUGAAAUUGUUCGACAGUGACAACAUGGGAAUCACUGCCUAUGAAGGGACUGGCAUGCCUGGAAAAAAAUCCCCAAAACCCAAACAAGACUCUUACCCAGUGGUGUUACACACAGGAUUCAUCAGAGCCACAUCGAGAGCCUGGAUGGCCAGUUCAUCAGGAACCCGUUGUUUUCUAUUGUCAUCAGGAGCCAUUUUGAUGCCUACACUGUUCAUUAGAAGUUUGGACCCUAGGAUCCAUAGCACAGUUUAAAUUUCUGUGCAGAGUGUCAUAGUUGGAAACACAGACACAUACACUGUACAGUACCUAUGAAGUCAGCCUAUGGGAAAUGCAGAUCAGCUCAACAGCCCAUGCUUAGGGAAUCCAGGAUACAACAACAAUACGACGUGGAGGAAGAAAGCGGUCAAGAACAUCACUUUCUUCUACUUGAAUAUAAACCGCAACAUCAGGACAGAGUCCUCGUUCUGACAAAUACUGGG